UGAAAUUUGUAAGGUGAGACUUUUCUGAGCAAAUUUGAAAGAUCUUUGGACAAUGCACAUAUUUAGAACAUGAAGAAAAAUAAGUCUGUUAGUCUCUUCAAUCAACUUCAUGAACACUACUCUCACAUACAAGAACGUUAAAGAAUUCAUGGACUCCUGAGUUUUGCUUGUCUUUGAGAAGUUAAUCCCUAAUGCCUGACAUAUUUGGAAGAUGAUUGAGUUAUGCAGGAGUUACAGCUGCCCUGAUGUUAGCAGGAGGACUGGCUA